AUACUUGAGAGUAAUUUUAGUAAUUUUCAACGUUGCAAUGAAAAAAAAAAGAGAGAGAAAAAUAUUCAGUUAGAAAGUUGACUAUACAUCAACAUCAAUACGCUAUUCAAUAAACUCUGCUUAUUUAUGCCUAUAAUCCUCCUUUUAUCUAACAUUAAGCUGACCACCAAACGUUAAAAUCUUUGGAAUAUUUUGAAUAUUUAGUGAAGCAAGUGGUACAUCUCGCCUGGAAGUGCAAAUUAUGUCACGAUUUUCUGAUCAUAGUUGUACCGUUUGGAGAGUUUCUUGGAAUUUAACCGGCACUAUUCUUUCAUCUUCAGGAGAUGACGGUUCCGUUCGAAUGUGGAAAAUGAAUUACUUGAAACAUUGGAAAUGUGCAGCAAUUCUUAAGGAUGGUUCUUCACAAUCACCACAAGAUUCAUCUAUAAACCCAUCAGUAACUACACCAAGUACAACAUUGGCAACGACAAAGUACUACAAGCGUGGAAAUCUAAGCCAUCCAAAUGAAGUUCUUUUGCAUUAGUUGAAAUAUUUAAAAUGUUCUUUUCUGCAUUCAGACUCAAGAAGACUGCUGAAAAAGCACAUUAAAAGGAAUAAACAUGGUUCUUUUCUCGUUUAUUUAAAAAAAAAUCUACUACAUUUAUAAUAUUAUUAAAAUCUGAGCAUGUGACAAUUUCGGAGAUCUGCCCGUUUAAAUUCACGCAAAAAAAUCUUCCAUACUUUUUAUUUCUUUAAAUCUGCGACAAAAUAAAUUGUCGUAGAAAUGGCUUUUAAGCAGGGCCGUAGUCAGCCACAUUGUCUAUAAAAAUUUAAGCAACACUGUCUAUCUGAACUUGGACAUCUAAAGUACCAAAAUAGAGAACUUUGAGCACUUUUAAAAUUCGCAAAAAUAGUAAUCCAUUAGUAGAAUAUGUAUUUGGCAUGGAAAAAUCGAAACUGAACCGUUGGAACUGAACUAACUUAGUUUUGACAUAAAAAUAAUUUUUGACUCACAUUCCAUACAAAAAUAACAAAAAAUAUGGAGACAUGCCUGUGUGAUAUCAUGAAGACGUGAAACUUUCACAGAUUUCAUCACAUUUUUAUGUCUAUUUCAGUAGAUGUCUAAAUUCAAAGAUAGCGCUCUUUUUUGUAUAAAAGUCAUAAAACCGGAAUGUGCACUUUAUUUUACAAAUAACACAUUCGAUUUAGUGUGUGGUUGGAUGAACGACGAUGGCGUCAGAUAACGACAGACCCUGCUAUUCAUUAUGUUUGUUUUUAUUAUUAUGUUUACAUUUGUAUAAAAUAAAACGAUAUCAUAUUUACGAUUAAUUCAAAAAUUUACGAUAAACACACAAACAAA